AAAUUUGCAGCUUUCUCUUUUAGUUUUCUUUGAUUUUUCUUCUCAACGUGUUAAACCUUCAUGGCUGCUGAAAAUAGCUUGUGUUCGGAAUUUUUCUAGGUAUUUGAAUAGAAGGUGGGAAGAAAUCUCCUGGCAUGGCAACUCCCCCACAAUCAUCCUUUUAUUGAUUAGUAAAGCGAUUUAAUAGUUUCUCUCACUUUUCCAAGUGACUCGUGAUCCACCCUCUAUGUAACCCUCCCAAAUAAUAAGCCCCUGCCAGAUUUUGAGCUAAGAGAUGAUUGGCAGUCCUCGCCAUCAAGUUUAAGUGCAGAAGAUGUGCAAACAGCAGACACUGUUCCACGGUCACCUUUCCAGGUGCCCACAUGGGCUCGUUUCCACUUUUGGCGUCUUGGCAUUUACACAGGCAGGCAUUGUUCAAAGCCCUGGGCUCCUGGACCGUAGGACACGAUGACAGUAGUCUUUGAGAGUGUCCUUGUUUUGUAGGAUGUCAUGAUAUACAUCCGCUGCCCCAGACCUGGAAUCAGCCAUUUCUCUAAGGAACCUCAGUUCCCUUUACUGAGAAAUAUAUUUAGAAACCAGAAUCUGGCCUCAGAGGAAACAGCUCACUUCUUCAGGGCUGGUUGCUAUUUCUAGUUCCCUGCCGUGGACAGAGAUGAGAGAAAGAACACCAGGAGAGGAACAGAUCUUGGAAGGCACAGGGAUACUGGCAGGCUGAGUGCCCACCUCACAGGUGCCCACUGGGCUGUCCCCUGGCACCACAUGAGGACCAUGCCAGCUGCUGACUUCCUCCCUCCAGCCAGCCACCUGAAUGAUGCCAGGGAUGUUCACCUCCUGUAGACCUGCUGCCCCAGCCACGGGGAUGGGCACCCGAGGGCUCUGCAAUCUUCGUGACAGGACUUGGCAGGUUGAAUGGAGAAGAAAGAAUCCAGAUGUCUUUCAUGAAGCCAGUCAUUCAAGAGGUUUUUAAAAACGUAAAGCAAUACUACUCUUUUCACUAAUCUCUGCAGUGGAAAAAACAGUUAUUUUUGCAUAAAAAGUAUUUUGCUCUUA